AAAAAGAAUGUUUUAAAAUUCUAAACUGACAUGCACAUAUCCGUUAAUUCUGUGUUAUGAUUGAGCCUCAUGGCUCUGUUACUGACAGACGUGGGCGUAAGACUCCUCGAGAGUCAGAUACUCUCGAGGAGCGAGAAAGAAAAAGACUGCGAGACAUUUUUGCAGCACCAUCUGACGAAGAGUCUUUUGAGGGGUUUACGGAGAGAAUGGAGGAGGGGCUGGUUAGCUCGGAGGAGGAUGAGAUGGAUUGGACUCGGGUAAGGGAGGAAUUGGGUGCCACUGGUCAUGAUGGGAUAGAAGAUGAAUGGGGACUUUCAGGAUUAGACCCAUGGCUUAGCUGGAGGGAUGGGACGGGAUCCACAGCUGGAGAUGCUGUGGGGCGUAGUCAGAGGUGUUCCAGCUCUGAUGAGGAAAGUGAUGAGGAAACGCCCGGGUUAAGGAGGACAGCUGACAGUGAUGAGGAUUUGUAACUGGCAUAAAAUGGGGCUUGGGAGCAAUUGCAAAUUGCGUUGGGCAAGGUAAUCUGGACAAACGCUUGGGAUCUGUGUGGGACGCUUUCCUGAAGACUGGUGUGUUUUCCUGUGCUGAGACCUUGACCUUCCGUUGUCUUCUUGACGGACGCCAUCUCCUGCUUUGAAAACUCGGAUUGAACUGACCACGGCUUGCCUUCCCCCUUCUGGACUUGGAAACUACAAACGUCUACUUCUGGCUUUGAACCACGGAAAGGAACUGGGUCUACUCUUCUGCUACAAUCCUUGGCUGAUCUGUUCGUGUUGGAAAUCCUGUCUGCUGUGUGUGUGGGAGCGACGCAAGUUCCUCUAAGCACAGUGUUGGCAGCAGAGAGGAAUCUGCUGCCAAUUAGUUGCAUUCUUUUGUAUCUUGUGUUCCUCGGCUUUUGUUUUGUUUACCCUCAGGCUGAAGCAAGCAGUUUGUUUUUACCCGGAUUAAACUUCGGUUUAAUCCGGUUUAUCUUUUGUACAUUUUUUCCUUGUCCCUUUUUUUUGCUCCUAAAGGCUAAAAUUGCCUGGCCCUUGUGUUUUACGGGCAUUUUUGAGUUCUGUAAUUAAAUAAACUCUGUUAUCUUGAA